rnacentral:rRNA from 1 species
UGGGGAAUAUUGAACAAUGGGCGCAAGCCUGAUGCAGCCAUGCCGCGGGUAUGAAGAAGGCCUUCGGGUUGUAAAGUACUUUCAGCGGGGAGGAAGGGAGUAAAGUUAAUACCUUUGCUCAUUGACGUUACCCGAAGAAGAAGCACCGGCUAACUCCGUGCCAGCAGCCGCGGUAAUACGGAGGGUGCAAGCGUUUAUCGGAAUUACUGGGCGUAAAGCGCACGCAGGCGGUUUGUUAAGUCAGAUGUGAAAUCCUCGGGCUCAACCUGGGAACUGCAUCUUGUACUGGUAAGCUUGGGUAUCGGAGAGGGGGGUAGAAUUCCAGGUGGUGCGGUGAAAAGCGUAGAGAUCUGGAGGAAUACCGGUGGGGAAGGCGGCCCCCUGGACGAAGACUGACGCUCAUGUGCGAAAGCGUGGGGGGCAAACAGG